CGUCAACGGAGAAGGACGGUCAAGACGAAGCGCCGACGUCGUUUUUUCCCGCAUCAGCAAAGCCGGAAUGAAAACUUCGGCUUCCAUCUUCUCCCUCCUCCUCCUCCUGCUAACCCAAAUCCAACGUUCCAAUCUCGUUUUCUAGGGUUUCGGUUCCUGUUGCAUCUUGAAGGAUCUGGUAUUCACCUGAUCAAUCGAGCCUCCAUAGCUAAAACAUCCCGUCUAGUCUCGAAAAACCCUAACGGAACUUCUUUGCGCCCGCCCCGAGACAUGCCUGCCGCCCCGGCCGCCGAUGGCGACGGCGGCUUGAAGAAAUUGGAGUACCUGUCUCUGGUCUCCAAGGUGUGCUCCGAGCUCGAGACUCACCUAGGCUUCGGCGACAAGGUGCUCGCCGAAUUCAUCACCGAGCUGGGCCGGAACUGCGAGACGGUCGACGAAUUCGAUGCCAAGCUCAAGGAGAACGGGGCUGAAAUGCCCGACUACUUCGUACGUACUCUUCUUACUAUCAUUCACGCGAUUUUGCCCCCAAGUGAUGGGGCUGAUAAGCAGCAGGGGAAGAAAGGCGGCGAUGGUGAUGGUGGUUCCAAGGGUCCGUUCAAGGCUUUGGGGAUUGCUGACAGUAAAGAGAGGGUGAAGGGCCUGGAGAGGGAGCUGGAGUUGGAGGUGCAACAGCGGAGGAGAGAGAGUGGAGAGUAUGAGAAGGAAGAGAGAGAUAGGGAUAGGGACAGGGACAGGGACAGGGAUAGAGAGAGGAGAGAGAGACACCGGGAUAGAUAUGAUAGGAGAAGUGACGGAGGGCAUAGGGAUAAAGAAAGAGACAGAGACAGAGAUAGACAUAGAGAUAGAGAUAGAGACAAGGAUCAUGAGGAGGAUGAUAGAAGGGGAAGGCAUAGAGAUCGGUACGAGAGAAGUCGAAGGGACGGCUAUGAAGAUCAUGAGGAUGACAGAAAAGACACUGGGGAUAGAAGGAAUGGUAGGUAUGAUUCCAAUGAACUGGAGCUAUAUAAGGUUUAUAGAGGGAAAGUUUCUAGAGUGAUGGACACGGGGUGCUUUGUUCAGUUGAGCGACAUUAGGGGUAAGGAGGGCCUGGUGCAUGUUUCACAGAUGGCGACCAGGAGGGUUGCUAAUGCUAAGGAAGUAGUGAAGCGGGAUCAGGAGGUUUAUGUGAAGGUGAUUUCCAUCUCCGGUCAGAAAUUGAGUCUUUCCAUGAGGGACGUGGAUCAGGACACUGGAAAAGAUUUGCUUCCACUGAAGAAGAGCGACGGUGAUGAUGCUUAUCGUACUAAUCCAACUUCAGGGUCAAGGGAUGGGCCUGUUGCCAGAACAGGUCUCUCUGGGAUUAGAAUUGUGGAUGAAGAUGAUGUGGCUCCAUCGAGGCGACCCUUGAAGAGGAUGAGCUCACCGGAGAGGUGGGAGGCGAAGCAAUUGGUGGCUUCAGGUGUGUUGAAGGUAAAUGAUCACCCAAUGUAUGAUGAUGAAGGGGAUGGAAUGCUGUAUCAGGAGGAGGGUGCUGAGGAAGAGCUUGAAAUUGAGCUAAAUGAGGAUGAACCUGCGUUUUUGCAAGGACAGACCAGAUAUUCUGUGGAUAUGUCACCGGUGAAGAUUUUCAAGAAUCCUGAAGGGUCCUUGAGUCGUGCUGCUGCACUGCAGUCUGCUCUUAUAAAGGAGAGGAGAGAAGUACGGGAGCAGCAACAGAGAACGAUGCUUGAUUCUAUUCCAAAGGAUCUUAAUCGUCCUUGGGAAGAUCCCAUGCCGGAGACAGGCGAGAGGCAUCUCGCUCAGGAGCUCAGAGGUGUCGGCUUGUCAGCUUACGAUAUGCCAGAGUGGAAGAAGGAUGCCUUUGGCAAAGCAUUGACUUUCGGGCAGAGGUCGAAGCUCUCCAUCCAGGAACAGAGGCAGAGUUUACCCAUUUACAAGUUGAAAAAAGAACUUGUCCAGGCCGUACAUGAAAAUCAAGUUCUUGUUGUUAUUGGUGAAACUGGUUCUGGAAAAACUACUCAGGUUACUCAGUAUCUGGCUGAAGCAGGUUACACCACAAGGGGUAAAAUUGGAUGCACUCAGCCUCGUAGGGUGGCUGCAAUGUCUGUUGCCAAGAGGGUGGCCGAAGAAUUUGGUUGUCGUUUAGGUGAGGAGGUUGGAUAUGCAAUUCGAUUCGAGGAUUGCACAGGACCAGACACUGUUAUUAAAUAUAUGACUGAUGGUAUGCUUCUUAGGGAGAUUCUCAUUGACGAGAACCUGUCCCAGUACUCAGUAAUCAUGCUUGACGAAGCACAUGAGAGGACUAUACACACUGAUGUCCUUUUUGGACUGCUUAAGCAGCUCGUGAAAAGGAGACCUGAUCUUCGGCUGAUAGUGACAUCUGCCACAUUGGAUGCGGAGAAGUUUUCUGGUUAUUUCUUCAACUGCAAUAUCUUCACCAUCCCCGGGAGAACAUUUCCAGUGGAGAUUCUUUACACCAAACAACCUGAAAGUGAUUAUUUGGAUGCAGCUCUUAUUACUGUAUUGCAGAUUCAUUUGACAGAACCCGAAGGCGACAUCCUACUUUUCCUGACUGGUCAGGAGGAGAUUGAUUUUGCUUGCCAAUCUCUUUAUGAGAGGAUGAAAGGAUUAGGCAAGAAUGUUCCUGAGCUGAUUAUUUUACCUGUAUAUAGUGCCUUGCCCAGUGAAAUGCAGUCAAGGAUAUUUGACCCAGCACCUCCGGGGAAGAGAAAAGUGGUUGUUGCGACUAACAUAGCUGAAGCAUCUCUCACAAUCGACGGCAUAUAUUAUGUUGUCGAUCCAGGGUUCGCAAAACAGAAUGUCUACAAUCCGAAGCAAGGUUUGGAUUCACUUGUCAUCACUCCUAUUUCACAAGCAUCCGCGAAGCAACGAGCUGGACGUGCUGGGCGUACGGGGCCUGGUAAAUGUUAUCGCCUCUAUACAGAGAGUGCGUACCGCAAUGAAAUGUCCCCUACCACCGUCCCUGAAAUCCAAAGGAUUAAUCUUGGUCUCACUACUCUUACAUUGAAGGCAAUGGGUAUAAAUGAUUUGUUAUCCUUUGAUUUCAUGGAUCCACCAUCGCCCCAGGCUCUGAUUUCUGCCAUGGAACAGCUCUAUAGUCUAGGAGCAUUGGAUGAUGAAGGGCUUCUCACAAAACUGGGAAGGAAAAUGGCAGAAUUUCCUCUGGAACCGCCCUUGUCGAAGAUGCUUCUUGCUAGUGUAGACUUGGGAUGCAGUGAUGAGAUUUUGACCAUCAUUGCUAUGAUUCAGACGGGAAACAUUUUCUACAGGCCUAGAGAGAAACAAGCCCAAGCAGAUCAGAAGAGGGCCAAGUUCUUCCAGCCGGAAGGAGACCAUUUGACUCUUCUUGCGGUUUAUGAGGCUUGGAAAGCAAAGAAUUUUUCUGGGCCAUGGUGCUUUGAGAACUUUGUUCAGUCUCGAUCCCUGAGGAGGGCUCAGGAUGUCAGGAAGCAGCUCCUCACCAUCAUGGACAAGUAUAAAUUGGAUGUUUUCGGUGCUGGAAAGAACUUCACAAAGAUAAGGAAAGCAAUCACAGCAGGGUUUUUCUUCCAUGCGGCGCGAAAAGACCCCCAAGAAGGUUACAGAACCUUGGUUGAGAAUCAACCAGUCUAUAUACAUCCAAGUAGUGCUCUCUUCCAGAGACAGCCUGACUGGGUUAUUUACCAUGAGCUUGUCAUGACCACAAAAGAGUAUAUGCGUGAGGUAACUGUUAUUGAUCCUAAGUGGCUUGUGGAAUUGGCGCCAAGAUUUUUCAAAGUUUCAGAUCCCACCAAGAUGAGCAAGCGGAAGCGUCAAGAACGUAUCGAACCUCUUUAUGACAGAUACCAUGAACCCAAUUCCUGGCGUCUCAGCAAAAGGCGUGCUUGACUUGUAUGAUUUGCAUUUCUGUCUGAGUAGUCCUCCAUUUUGCUUCAUAGUGUAAAUGUUUAUAUCUUACUUUUUGCAGAAGGUAAUUUGUAGAACUCCUUCGCUGAGGCAUAAUGAAUACAAUAACUUUUCUGGUUUGACAGGCAUCUUGUCUUUUUGUUUUCUGUUGCUUCCUAUUGAACUUUUUGAGUUGAACAACACAUUAAGCUUGUAUUAAUGAUAAUCCUCAAGGACGUACUGGUUUUGAUGAUUAAA